UUGGCUGGGCCGGUGGCGCGCGCGCCGCUGGAGAGAGGGCGGCGGUGAGGAAGGGGGGCCGGGCGGCCGCCGCCAUGUUGGGCGCCUUGCGGCGGCGGUGGGACGCGUACAAGUACCGGUUCGUGCCCUGGCUGGCCCUCAACCUCCGCCGCAAGCGCAGGACCCUCCGAUAUGUUCCCAAAAGUUCCCAGGACAAAAUUAUCUCUGAUGAAGAUGUCUUUGAAACACUACUUAAAAUAUUUAAAGCCCUGUUCAUAAAUGACUUCAGUAGACAAGCACAUAUUUUGGCCUUACUUCCAGACAUCAGAUGUAAAUAUCUGGAGUUACUGACUGUUGAGCAGAAGAGAUCAAAAGUAAAUUCAUGUAAUCAUCAGAGUCAACAUGUGUUUAGUCCAGAGGAAGUUCUGUUUAACACAUUAGGGUUCAGUAUCACUCGAGACCGAAGUUCUCUGGUGUCUGCUGGAACUGGAGUUUUUGUUACCAAAGGUUUUGUACCAAAAGGGACGGUUGUAUCUAUGUAUCCUGGUACGGUAUACAGAAAGCAUGAGCCCAUCUUUUUCCAGUCCCUUGGCAAUCCCUUUAUUUUUAGGUGCAUAGAUGGCAUCCUUAUUGAUGGAAAUGAUAAAGGGCUAUCAAGGUCAGUGUACAGGUCUUGCAGCAGAAGAGAUCAACUUGGCCCAUUUCAAAUGAGUGAUGAGAGUUGGCUCACAGCUGCCCUGCAAAACCCACUGGCGGUGGGUCAGUACGUCAACAACUGCUCACAUGAUUCCUCAGUCUGCCUCCUGUUAUGUAGAAUGAAAUGCACACAUCCCAAAAUGUGAGAUGUUGGGAAAGGAUAUCUAGCAGAGGACCUGAGGCAGUAUACAGAGUUGCAGAUCAAGUUCCCAAGUAUGGUUCCAGCAGUCUUCAUGAGAAAACCAUACACACAGUGACAUAUAAAGCAGCCAACGUGUGUUAUCAGGAGUUUGAUGUGCCGGGGUAUUUUCCAGUAGAGCUGAAGCAGUAUCUUCCAAACAUCGUCUACAGCCAUGACAUAGAGAGGUUAGCAGCAAAUCAGAGAGCUCAUAGAUUUAUAUGAUACAAAGCAUACUGUGUACAUAAAAAACCAAACAUAGUUGAAGAAUAGUACAAUUGCAUAUGAAGAUGAGUUACACAAAAGUCUGCAUCUGUAUGAAAGAGCCACCUGAGGUGUGUAGUGCUUGUCACUCUCAGAGACAUCAAGCAAGGAGAAGAACUUUUUUCUAAUUAUUAUACUAUUGUCAACUGAAUUAACAGAUUCAAGACUGAAAAAUCUUGUGUUAAUAAAACACCACAUCUGUA